GAUGAACGCUGGCGGCGUGCCUAAUACAUGCAAGUCGAGCGAACGGACAAGAAGCUUGCUUCUCUGAUGUUAGCGGCGGACGGGUGAGUAACACGUGGAUAACCUACCUAUAAGACUGGGAUAACUUCGGGAAACCGGAGCUAAUACCGGAUAAUAUUUUGAACCGCAUGGUUCAAAAGUAAAAGACGGUCUUGCUGUCACUUAUAGAUGGAUCCGCGCUGCAUUAGCUAGUUGGUAAGGUAACGGCUUACCAAGGCAACGAUGCAUAGCCGACCUGAGAGGGUGAUCGGCCACACUGGAACUGAGACACGGUCCAGACUCCUACGGGAGGCAGCAGUAGGGAAUCUUCCGCAAUGGGCGAAAGCCUGACGGAGCAACGCCGCGUGAGUGAUGAAGGUCUUCGGAUCGUAAAACUCUGUUAUUAGGGAAGAACAUAUGUGUAAGUAACUGUGCACAUCUUGACGGUACCUAAUCAGAAAGCCACGGCUAACUACGUG
rnacentral:rRNA from 1 species